GCGACCUACCCAUGAGCAGGAUGAAGCGAAAGUAAAAUUUCGUGGAGGUCCGAACCCACGAGCGUUGAAAAGCUCGGGGAUGACUUGUGGGUAGCGGUGAAAUUCCAAUCGAGCCCGGAGAUAGCUGGUUCUCCCCGAAAUAGCUUUAGGGCUAGCCUCAAGGUGAGAGAUACGGAGGUAGAGCACUGAAUGUCCUAGGGGGUAUUGCACCUACCGAAGACUAUCAAACUCCGAAUGCCGUCAUCUUAUACUUGGGAGUCAGACUGUGGGUGAUAAGAUUCAUAGUCGAAAGGGCAACAGCCCAGAUCGUCAGCUAAGGUCCCUAAAUGUAAGUUAAGUGGUAAAGGAUGUGGGAUUGCACAGACAACCAGGAUGUUGGCUUAGAAGCAGCCACUCAUUCAAAGAGUGCGUAAUAGCUCACUGGUCGAGUGAUCCUGCGCCGAAGAUUUCCGGGGCUAAAACUUACUACCGAAGCUACGGCAUCAGUAAUGAUGGGUAGGGGAGCUUCCCAUACGGGUUGAAGCAUGACCGUAAGGACAUGUGGACAGUAUGGGAGUGAGAAUGUUGGCAUGAGUAGCGAGAUGUGGGUGAGAAUCCCACAGGCCGUAAACCCAAGGUUUCCAGGGGAAGGUUCGUCCGCCCUGGGUUAGUCGGGACCUAAGCUGAGGCCGAAAGGCGUAGGUGAUGGACAACAGGUUGAU
rnacentral:rRNA from 1 species